UACGUAGGGUGCAAGCGUUGUCCGGAAUUAUUGGGCGUAAAGAGCUCGUAGGCGGUCUGUUGCGUCGGCUGUGAAAACCCGGGGCUCAACCCCGGGCUUGCAGCCGAUACGGGCGGGCUGGGAUUCGGUAGGGGAGACUGGAAUUCCUGGUGUAGCGGUGAAAUGCGCAGAUAUCAGGAGGAACACCGGUGCGAAGGCGGGUCUCUGGGCCGAUAUCGACGCUGAGGAGCGAAAGCGUGGGGAGCGAACAGG
rnacentral:rRNA from 1 species